UCCUCGUGGCGAGGCAAACAAGCUGUUUCAUUCCAGUCUUAAUUAAGGCAGUUUCAGAGUGUCCUGGAGGUGUAAGUUUGGAGUCAUUGUGUCACAGCAGGAGAAUCUAGGCUGUGCUGAAUGCGGCCCCAAGGGACAGGAAUGGAGGAGCCUUGUCCUGGUCAAGGUCCAAGCUCCUGCCCUAUAUGAUGCUCCCCUUGUUCCUGCUCCUCUUUGUGGGGCUCCCACUUGUGGAAUCCCAUUUUACCAACGUGACCAAAGCCGUUCCAGCUGCUUGGACCUUCAACGUGCAGUGCCAUGAAUGUGUGGCUGAAAACACGUUUGAUUGCCCGAGGCUCAGGACGUGCUUAUACGACCAUAGACGCUGUAUGACCGUAGCUGCACCUUCAGGUGCCUUUCUGUUUCCCGAGCUGGGUGUAAAGACCUCCAGACUGCCCCGUCUUCACUGGACCAAGUGCCCUCACGCUGUGGUGAUGUGCUGAGUUGGGACAGCAGGAGGCUGAGAAUCUGGCUCUGUCACCGUGGUGGGCCACUGCGGGAUGACAUGCAAUUUUGGAGAACCUUCUAACGUGAAGAAGGACUCACUGGCGAGGAAAUAAUUGAGGAGGAUCUACCAGAAGGGUCUGCAUAUUUGGGGAAACCAAAAUUCUUCUUGAGCUUUGCUUCCAUCAUCGUCAGUAAUACACUGACUUGAGAUGGCCUCUUGGAGUCCAUUCAUCUUCCCCUGUUGCUGAGAAUGCUGCUGUUCUCUCUUGGAGACGCUGAUGUGUCAGGCCUCCCGUCGGCCCCUUCAUGCCUUGUUGUAAGAGCAAAAUAAAGGAAAAUGCUGUU